AAUUAGAAACUCAAGAACCUGAAACCCCCAUUCAGAUGAGUGACUGUGAUGGCGGCACUGCAGCUUCAUCCACAAAGAAAAACUUCAUUGACCAGUUUUUUGGGGUGGUGUUUGACACAACAUAUCCUUUAAGAUCUAAUGAAGUGCAUGGAGUCAGAGGACGAGGAACCCGUCGUAGGUCUGGAGAGCAAUCUACAGCUCAGCUGCUUCAUCAACUAGGAGGUCAAAUAUCUAGCAAACGGAAUUAGAUUGUCUAAAAUCAGUCGUCUCCCAGGGUACCUGACUGUUCAGAUGGUUCACUUCUACUACAAGGAGAGGAAGUCUGUUAACACCAAAGUUCUCAAGCAGAUCAGUGAUGAUGUCAUCGAUAUGGGGGCAGGCUAAACAUGAGCGUAAGCAGAGAAGGCGUGCGAAAACAUUGUAUAAAAGUAGGGCGUGUGACCCAGCCCGAAUUUCAAAUUCAAUUUCGGCGGGAUAUUACAAUGGAGAUGUUUGAAGUCAGAGUGACCACCUUCACUGGAAAUCCUUUCAACCUCCAGGUUGAUCCAGGAGACACAAUUGGGAGCGUCAAGGAGAGGAUGCAGGUCCUAAAAAAGAUACCACCAGUGGCUGCUCAUGGGUGACACCCUCCUGGAUGACGGGUCACAACCUGUCCAACUACAACAUCCUGAAGGGGUCGACCAUUAUGCUGGUGCUCCACUUCAGGACCUGUGACAGCUGUGUUUUGGUGUACCCCCUAACACGCCAGUCAGUCAAACUGACCAAUCCAUAGGGAUGCACACUGCACGGCUUCGGUGGAUAAACGUUCAACACCGAACGACAUGAACACAACGGCUCUUUUAAGAUUUAAAUAGAAAUCGUUGUGGAGACCCAGUUCGGCGACGUCUUCCCCCUCAAGGUCCAGCCAGGAAGCAGGGUUGAAGACGUAAAGACCGCCAUAUCUGCUCUAAGAGGGAUUCCCCAAGACCACCAGAUCCUGAUCCUAGGCUACACCAUCCUGGAGGACAAUCGCACCCUGUCAGACUACAACAUCCAGGAGGGGUCGACCGUCUGCCUGGUGAUCCGCCUCAGGACUGCACGUUAACACCCGUUCAACACCGAACAACGUGAACACAACCAGUAUAUAAUAAUAAAUAAUAAUAAUAGAAAGGACGUAGAAAGAAAAAACAAACUAUUAUUAUUAUUAUUAUUAUUAUUAUUAUUAUUAUUAUUUCUGUCAGGACCACUUUGUCAAAUGAGAAUUUAUUAGAUGAUAGUAUACAGUUAGUGUUGGCGGUAUGGUUCUGUUCUGGGAGCAGCAAGACGUGGAGAUUUAAGACGUAAACUGGUACAACGAACACAGGUUCUGGCAUGGUGGAGUUGGGGUUGCAGGAGGGAGUUUAAGUCGCAGCGGGAGCGACGCGCUAGAAAGCGGCUCAAUGAAUGGGAAUUUAAAUGGUCGGGUAAUAUGGAUGUCGUAACCGGAUUGGUGCGCGUCAUGGACAGCUGAUGAACAGCUGAUGCACGCUUGACGACGUAGCCUGCCAGAACUGACCCGAUGCUUGAUUAUUAUUAUUAUUGUUGUUGUAAUUCUUUUAAUGUACUACUUUUACAUGCAAAACAAAAAUGGAAUUCUGUAUUAAUAUUUGCCUUAUGCUUGUUUGCAAAAAAAAAGAGAGAGACAGAAAUAACAAAACAAUAGUUUAGUUGUGUCAUGACAGCAUGUGAAGCUGCUACAACGUUAACGAGAUAAUAGACGAACAAAACACAAAGCGUUUAUGGCCAUGUCCACACUAAUCCGGAUAUAUUUACGUUUUCCAAAAGUUGCUCAUCCACACUGAAAUGUAUGAAAACGCUUACAUCUCCCUACUGCGCAUGAGUAAAGCUUCGACCUGCAUCAUUUCCGCUAUACGUUUAUUUACUUUCGACUGCAUCACAUGACUAAAAAUGCGUCAUAGUAUUCAAAAGCCUCCUUCUUCACAGUCUACACUAAGACACGAAGACGGCAUUUUCAAAUUUAUCCGCUUUGGAGAGCGUCUUCCAACAGCUAUGUUUUCAUUGACUUAAAAUGCUGUCUCAGUGUGGACGAAAGGCCAAAACGGAGAGAAAAAUAUUUGUUUUCAAACGAAAACGUAUUAGUGUGGACAUGGCCUUAAAAACACUUAAGAAAUUAACGGUUGCCAGCUUUUAGGGCGGAGCUGCUGAACACCUAAAGAACAACAAGCUCUGGUCUGGAAAAUAAAAAUUUUGAUUUUUAUAUUUAAUAAAACAUGCCUUUGGAAUUUUUCUACAAAAAACAAACAAACAAAACAAAUCCAGAUUCCAUUUAAAUAGUAUAAGAACAAAUACAUUCAAAUUUUGGUUUUGCACUAUAAAAGAUCCCAUUGUAACGUUUUGAAUUGGCAUUUGGUCCUGUAUUUUAAACAAGAAUACAAUUAGUCAGAUUUAAAAAAAAAAAAAAAAACACUAAACAAAAUGAGGAAAAAACUCCACACUUGUGCUAUUUAGAUCUCUUUGGCUUUCUCAGUGAGGAACAACAUUCAUCCUGUUUGGACACAUGAAAAGUUCAGCACCUUUUUGGCAGCUUACAUUCUUGAAUGUUGUUUGAUUUUAGAGCACUGUCACAAACACAGAUACCAAAAGUAAAAGGCACGUUGGUUUAAAAAACAAA